rnacentral:RNase_P_RNA from 1 species
GAAGCAAGCCAGACCGUCGCUGGUGCCGGAUCCGAAAGGUGGCACUGGAGGAAGGUCCGGACUGCACAGAGCGGCGUAGCAGCUAACGGCUGUCCACCGUGAGGUGAGGAUCAGAGCAACAGAGACGAGCCGAUUCAGUUCGGGUGAAACGGGCAAUCUCUACGCGCAGCAACACCAAAUAGGCCAGUGCAAGGUCGCUUCGGCGGCCCUGGAGUGCGGCUCGCACGAGCUGGCGGGUAGGUGGCACCGAGCCGGUGGGGCGACCCCCGGCCCAGAUGAAUGGCGGUCACGGCCGACGACCUUUCGGGGUCGGCGGCCGCACAGAAUCCGGCCUAUCGGCUUGCUUCACAC